CGAUAGCCGACUUUGAAUCCCUGUCUUUCUAUUUCUCUCUCAAACCCUAGUCGCCAUCUUCAACCACCAUCCAAAUAGCCUGAAUCCAUUGCUUCCAAAGUCGUUAAAGGCCUGUACCUACGUCCUAUGACUCCUACAUGCUCGAUUAUCAUUGUUUCAAGGCCAGACCUUGAAGAAGCUUGGUCUAAACCUUAGGUGCUUUCAGUCCUAUUGUUGUCUCUGGUCUCCGAC
rnacentral:lncRNA from 1 species